rnacentral:tRNA from 1 species
GAGGGUAUAGCUCAGUGGUAGAGUGCAUGCUUAGCAUGCACAAGGUCCUAGGUUCAGUCCCAGUACCUCCA